AACGAACGCUGGCGGCAUGCCUAACACAUGCAAGUCGAACGAGACCUUCGGGUCUAGUGGCGCACGGGUGCGUAACGCGUGGGAAUCUGCCCUUGGGUUCGGAAUAACAGCGAGAAAUUGCUGCUAAUACCGGAUGAUGACGUAAGUCCAAAGAUUUAUCGCCCAAGGAUGAGCCCGCGUAGGAUUAGCUAGUUGGUGAGGUAAGGGCUCACCAAGGCGACGAUCCUUAGCUGGUCUGAGAGGAUGAUCAGCCACACUGGGACUGAGACACGGCCCAGACUCCUACGGGAGGCAGCAGUGGGGAAUAUUGGACAAUGGGCGAAAGCCUGAUCCAGCAAUGCCGCGUGAGUGAUGAAGGCCUUAGGGUUGUAAAGCUCUUUUACCCGGGGAUGAUAAUGACAGUACCGGGAGAAUAAGCUCCGGCUAACUCCGUGCCAGCAGCCGCGGUAAU
rnacentral:rRNA from 1 species